rnacentral:rRNA from 1 species
ACGUGGGUGAUCUGCCCUGCACUCCGGGAUAAGCCUGGGAAACUGGGUCUAAUACCGGAUAGGACCGCAUGCUGCAUGGUGUGUGGUGCAAAGCUUUUGCGGUGUGGGAUGAGCCCGCGGCCUAUCAGCUUGUUGGUGGGGUAAUGGCCUACCAAGGCGACGACGGGUAGCCGGCCUGAGAGGGUGACCGGCCACACUGGGACUGAGAUACGGCCCAGACUCCUACGGGAGGCAGCAGUGGGGAAUAUUGCACAAUGGGCGCAAGCCUGAUGCAGCGACGCCGCGUGAGGGAUGACGGCCUUCGGGUUGUAAACCUCUUUCAGUAGGGACGAAGCGAAAGUGACGGUACCUACAGAAGAAGCACCGGCCAACUACGUGCCAGCAGCCGCGGUAAUACGUAGGGUCCGAGCG